rfam:Oryza rufipogon genomic scaffold, chr05
AAGGAGGAUGUGAGAGUUAGCAUUCCUGCCUGAUACAAUCUUCCUAGAUUUAAUCUGCCAUUUUGUUUGCUUGCUGAACUAUUAGACAGUUUUGCUGGCCUUAGUGGGCAGGACAUCACC